rnacentral:lncRNA from 1 species
CAGUUUGGGCUUGGGCCUUAAGUUAACCAAACUGCACACGGUAAAUAUAAUGUUUUUUUUUUCUUUCUAAUCAACCAUUAAUGAUAUUAUAAAUUACUGCAGAAAUAUAAUGUUUUUUUUAAAAGUGGUAUACAUAAGCCAGAUUAUGGAGAAGAAAGAACACAAAUAAAUCGGGAAUAAAUUUGGUUUGAAGAGUCAAAAGAGUGAAUUAUUAGUCAUUCACAUGCUUUUAUUUUUGUAAUAUAUAAGAUAUUACCUGAUAUUAUUACUGAAUAGAGGAUAAAUACAAGUGACUUGGUCAGAUAGCAUAUUAUAUGAAAAAAUUUAACUAUAUAAAUAUUUGCGAGGGAUUAAUCUGUUAUAAGAUUCCUUGGUUUUUUCUGUCCACACGCGCCUAAUGAUAUGGCAAUAUAUGCGGAAGAAAACAAAAAAAAAUCAAUAUGCCGGUCGGUCAACAACAAUGUGAAUAUGAUCUGAGGACUUUCUUGGGUCAAUGCAUAUGAUAUUAAUUGAAAACUAAGAUUUUUUAAUCUUCACGUAUAACAUAUACGUUUGCAAGUAUUAUUGGAAAAAAUAGCCGUUUCAACGAUAAAUGGGGGAGAUCGAGAGACCCACCACUCUUUUGCCCCUUGAGAGACGUCAACGGAG